GUCUUUUUAGUAUAAAAUAUAAAUGACUUCCAAUCAUUAGAUCUCAACAAAACCUGAGAAAAGACA
rnacentral:tRNA from 1 species